AUGCAAAAAAUCAGGCAUCUGUUAUAAGAAUAAGAUGAAAAUUAUCUAAACAUUCUUAACAGGGGACAAAAAUAAGGCUCCUACUUCGACCAACAAGAAAUGAAGAAGAAAAUACGUGAACCUGAUAUGAGACAAACAGAGACUUCAAAAUCUAAACUUAACUGGAGUUAACAACAUUUCAAAGAAAAGAUCUAGCUGAAAAGACCUGCCAGAGCUUCACAUCCUUCAAAUCUUGAUGCAUAUUUACAUGAGUGUUUGCCUGUGUUCAGACAAGUAAGAAAAAUAAUGGUCAUUAAAUGCUCAAGGACUAGUGUAGAAACUAAAGCCACCAAAGCUACUUCCACCACCUGCACCAAAGCCUCCACCUUCUCCAAAGCCUCCUCCUGCACCUGCA
rnacentral:lncRNA from 1 species